rnacentral:rRNA from 1 species
CCUACGGGAGGCAGCAGUGGGGAAUAUUGCACAAUGGGGGAAACCCUGAUGCAGCGACGCCGCGUGAGUGAAGAAGUAAUUCGUUAUGUAAAGCUCUAUCAGCAGGGAAGAAAAUGACGGUACCUGAGUAAGAAGCCCCGGCUAACUACGUGCCAGCAGCCGCGGUAAUACGUAGGGGGCAAGCGUUAUCCGGAUUUACUGGGUGUAAAGGGUGCGUAGACGGCAGUGCAAGUCUGGAGUGAAAGGCGGGGGCUCAACCCCUGGACUGCCCUGGAAACUGGACGGCUGGAGUGCAGGAGAGGUAAGUGGAAUUCCUAGUGUAGCGGUGAAAUGCGUAGAUAUUAGGAGGAACACCAGUGGCGAAGGCGGCUUACUGGACUGUAACUGACGUUGAGGCUCGAAAGCGUGGGGAGCAAACAGGAUUAGAUACCCCAGUAGUC